rnacentral:rRNA from 1 species
UACAGAGGGUGCGAGCGUUGUCCGGAAUCACUGGGCGUAAAGGGCGCGUAGGCGGCUUGUACAGUCAGACGUGAAAUUCCUGGGCUCAACCUGGGGGCUGCGUUUGAUACGUAUGGGCUUGAGUUCGGAAGAGGGUCGUGGAAUUCCCAGUGUAGAGGUGAAAUUCGUAGAUAUUGGGAAGAACACCGGUGGCGAAGGCGGCGACCUGGUCCGAUACUGACGCUGAGGCGCGAAAGCGUGGGGAGCAAACAGG